CAGGAUGAACGCUAGCGGCAGGCCUAACACAUGCAAGUCGAGGGGCAGCGAGGGUAGCAAUACCUGUCGGCGACCGGCGCACGGGUGAGUAACGCGUAUGCAACCUACCCAUAACAGGGGGAUAGCCCGGAGAAAUUCGGAUUAAUACCGCAUAAUAUUAUUAAACUGCAUGGUUUGAUGAUAAAAACUGAGGUGGUUAUGGAUGGGCAUGCGUGACAUUAGAUAGUUGGUGGGGUAACGGCCCACCAAGUCAACGAUGUCUAGGGGGCCUGAGAGGGUAGUCCCCCACACUGGUACUGAGACACGGACCAGACUCCUACGGGAGGCAGCAGUGAGGAAUAUUGCGCAAUGGACGAAAGUCUGACGCAGCCAUGCCGCGUGCAGGAUGAAGGCCCUAUGGGUUGUAAACUGCUUUUGUAUAGGAAGAAACUCCCGAUCGUGAUCGGGACUGACGGUACUGUAUGAAUAAGCAUCGGCUAACUCCGUGCCAGCAGCCGCGGUAAUACGGAGGAUGCAAGCGUUAUCCGGAUUUAUUGGGUUUAAAGGGUGCGUAGGCGGGGCUUUAAGUCAGUGGUGAAAUCCUGCAGCUUAACUGUAGAACUGCCAUUGAUACUGAAAUUCUUGAGUACGGUUGAAGUAGGCGGAAUGUGUAAUGUAGCGGUGAAAUGCUUAGAUAUUACACAGAACACCGAUUGCGUAGGCAGCUUACUAAGCCGAAACUGACGCUGAGGCACGAAAGCGUGGGGAUCGAACAGGAUUAGAUACCCUGGUAGUCCACGCCGUAAACGAUGAUCACUAGCUGUUGGCGAUACACAGUCAGGGGCAAAGCGAAAGCAUUAAGUGAUCCACCUGGGGAGUACGGUCGCAAGACUGAAACUCAAAU
rnacentral:rRNA from 1 species